GAACUUACAUUCAAUCCGGAUAGAGUGUCAGAUUACGGCUCUGAAGGUUGAGGGUUCGACUCCUUCCGUGUUCA
rnacentral:tRNA from 1 species